UGGGGAAUAUUGGACAAUGGGCGAAAGCCUGAUCCAGCCAUGCCGCGUGUGUGAAGAAGGUCUUCGGAUUGUAAAGCACUUUAAGUUGGGAGGAAGGGCAUUAACCUAAUACGUUAGUGUUUUGACGUUACCGACAGAAUAAGCACCGGCUAACUCUGUGCCAGAAGCCGCGGUAAUACAGAGGGUGCAAGCGUUAAUCGGAAUUACUGGGCGUAAAGCGCGCGUAGGUGUUUUGUUAAGUUGGAUGUGAAAUCCCCGGGCUCAACCUGGGAACUGCAUUCAAAACUGACUGACUAGAGUAUGGUAGAGGGUGGUGGAAUUUCCUGUGUAGCGGUGAAAUGCGUAGAUAUAGGAAGGAACACCAGUGGCGAAGGCGACCACCUGGACUAAUACUGACACUGAGGUGCGAAAGCGUGGGGAGCAAACA
rnacentral:rRNA from 1 species